rnacentral:rRNA from 1 species
UCGGGGGGCAGCAGGCGCGAAAACUUUACAAUGCGGGAAACCGUGAUAAGGGGACACCGAGUGCCAGCAUCAUAUGCUGGCUGUCCGGGUGUGUAAAAUACACCUGUCAGCAAGGGCCGGGCAAGACCGGUGCCAGCCGCCGCGGUAACACCGGCGGCCCGAGUGGUGAUCGUGAUUAUUGGGUCUAAAGGGUCCGUAGCCGGUUUGGUCAGUCCUCCGGGAAAUCUGACGGCUCAACCGUUAGGCUUUCGGGGGAUACUGCCAGGCUUGGAACCGGGAGAGGUAAGAGGUACUACAGGGGUAGGAGUGAAAUCUUGUAAUCCCUGUGGGACCACCUGUGGCGAAGGCGUCUUACCAGAACGGGUUCGACGGUGAGGGACGAAAGCUGGGGGCACGAACCGGAUUAGAUACCCGGGUAGUCCCAGCCGUAAACGAUGCUCGCUAGGUGUCAGGCAUGGCGCGACCGUGUCUGGUGCCGCAGGGAAGCCGUGAAGCGAGCCACCUGGGAAGUACGGCCGCAAGGCUGAAACUUAAAGGAAUUGGCGGGGGAGCACAAUCACUAGUGAAUU